rnacentral:ncRNA from 1 species
UGGAAACGGUUGCUAAUACCCCGUAGGCUGAGGAGCAAAAGGAGAAAUCCGCCCAAGGAGGGGCUCGCGUCUGAUUAGCUAGUUGGUGAGGCAAUAGCUUACCAAGGCGAUGAUCAGUAGCUGGUCCGAGAGGAUGAUCAGCCACACUGGGACUGAGACAGUGCCCAGACUCCUACGGGAGGCAGCAGUGGGGAAUUUUCCGCAAUGGGCGAAAGCCUGACGGAGCAAUGCCGCGUGGAGGUGGAAGGCCUACGGGUCGUCAACUUCUUUUCUCGGAGAAGAAACAAUGACGGUAUCUGAGGAAUAAGCAUC